GACGAACGCUGGCGGCGUGCCUAAUACAUGCCAGUUGAGCGCUGAAGGUUGGUACUUGUACCAACUGGAUGAGCAGCGAACGGGUGAGUAACGCGUGGGGAAUCUGCCUUUGAGCGGGGGACAACAUUUGGAAACGAAUGCUAAUACCGCAUAAAAACUUUAAACACAAGUUUUAAGUUUGAAAGGUGCAAUUGCAUCACUCAAAGAUGAUCCCGCGUUGUAUUAGCUAGUUGGUGAGGUAAAGGCUCACCAAGGCGAUGAUACAUAGCCGACCUGAGAGGGUGAUCGGCCACAUUGGGACUGAGACACGGCCCAAACUCCUACGGGAGGCAGCAGUAGGGAAUCUUCGGCAAUGGACGAAAGUCUGACCGAGCAACGCCGCGUGAGUGAAGAAGGGUUUCGGAUCGUAAAACUCUGUUGGUAGAGAAGAACGUUGGUGGGAGUGGAAAGCUCAUCAAGUGACGGUAACUACCCAGAAAGGGACGGCUAACUACGUG
rnacentral:rRNA from 1 species